UCGGGAAUUUUGGGCAAUGGGCGAAAGCCUGACCCAGCAACGCCGCGUGAAGGAUGAAGUAUUUCGGUAUGUAAACUUCGUAAGAAUAGGAAGAAUAAAUGACGGUACUAUUUGUAAGGUCCGGCUAACUACGUGCCAGCAGCCGCGGUAAUACGUAGGGACCAAGCGUUGUUCGGAUUUACUGGGCGUAAAGGGCGCGUAGGCGGUUUGUCAAGUCAGUUGUGAAAUCUCCGAGCUUAACUCGGAACGGUCAACUGAUACUGUCAAACUAGAGUACAGAAGGGGCAAUCGGAAUUCUUGGUGUAGCGGUGAAAUGCGUAGAUAUCAAGAGGAACACCUGAGGUGAAGACGGGUUGCUGGGCUGACACUGACGCCGAGGCGCGAAAGCCAGGGGAGCAAACGGGAUUAGAUACCCUCGUAGUCCCUGAGCGGGCUGGCAAGGCGCAU
rnacentral:rRNA from 1 species